rnacentral:piRNA from 1 species
UAGAACCUGAACUUAACUUUCGAUUGAC